GAUGAACGCUGGCGGCGUGCCUAACACAUGCAAGUCGAGCGAACAGACGAGGAGCUUGCUCCUCUGACGUUAUCGGCGGUCGGGUGAGUAACAUGUGUAUGACCUACCUAUAAGACUGUGAUAAUUUUGGGAAACAGGCGCUAAUACCGGAUAAUAUAUUGAACCGCAUUGUUCACGAGUGAAAGACGGUUUUGGUUUCACUAAUAGAUGACCACGCGCCGCAUUAGUGAGUUGGUGAGGAGACGGCUUACCAAGGCUGCGAUGCGUAGCCGACCUGAGAGGGUGAUCGGCCACACUGGAUGUGAGGCACGGUCCAGACUCCUACGGGAGGCAGCAGUCGGGAAUCUUACGCAAUGGGCGAGUGCCUGACCGAGCAAAGCCGCGUGAGUGAUGAAGGUGUUCGGAUGGGUAAGCUCUGUUAGUAGGGAAGAAGAAAUGUGCAUGUAGCUAGGAAGGUAUUGACGGUACCAAAAGAAAAAGCCACGGCUAACUCCGUG
rnacentral:rRNA from 1 species